UAGGGAAUAUUGGACAAUGGGCGCAAGCCUGAUCCAGCCAUCCCGCGUGCAGGAUGAAGGUCCUAUGGAUUGUAAACUGCUUUUAUCAGGAAAGAAACCUUGGGAUUCAUCCCAAGUUGACGGUACCUGAGGAAUAAGCACCGGCUAACUCCGUGCCAGCAGCCGCGGUAAUACGGAGGGUGCAAGCGUUAUCCGGAUUUACUGGGUUUAAAGGGUGCGUAGGUGGUCUUGUAAGUCAGCGGUGAAAGCUCGGAGCUCAACUCCGAAAUUGCCAUUGAUACUGCAAGGCUUGAGUACAGUUGAGGUAGGCGGAAUAUGUCAUGUAGCGGUGAAAUGCUUAGAUAUGACAUAGAACACCAAUUGCGAAGGCAGCUUGCUAAACUGAAACUGACACUGAGGC
rnacentral:rRNA from 1 species